UCUCCUGGAAACGGGUGGUAAUGCCGGAUGCUCCAUCACACUGCAUGGUGUGUUGGGAAAGCCUUUGCGGCAUGGGAUGGGGUCGCGUCCUAUCAGCUUGAUGGCGGGGUAACGGCCCACCAUGGCUUCGACGGGUAGCCGGCCUGAGAGGGCGACCGGCCACAUUGGGACUGAGAUACGGCCCAGACUCCUACGGGAGGCAGCAGUGGGGAAUAUUGCACAAUGGGCGCAAGCCUGAUGCAGCGACGCCGCGUGAGGGAUGGAGGCCUUCGGGUUGUAAACCUCUUUUGUUAGGGAGCAAGGCAUUUUGUGUUGAGUGUACCUUUCGAAUAAGCACCGGCUAACUACGUGCCAGCAGCCGCGGUAAUACGUAGGGUGCAAGCGUUAUCCGGAAUUAUUGGGCGUAAAGGGCUCGUAGGCGGUUCGUCGCGUCCGGUGUGAAAGUCCAUCGCUUAACGGUGGAUCCGCGCCGGGUACGGGCGGGCUUGAGUGCGGUAGGGGAGACUGGAAUUCCCGGUGUAACGGUGGAAUGUGUAGAUAUCGGGAAGAACACCA
rnacentral:rRNA from 1 species